UACGAAGGGUGCAAACGUUGCUCGGAAUUAUUGGGCGUAAAGCGCACGUAGGCGGCUUAGCAAGUCCCAUGUGAAAGCCCACGGCUUAACCGUGGAAGUGCAUGGGAAACUGCUGAGCUUGAGUAACUUAAGAGGAUCGCGGAAUUCCCGGUGUAGAGGUGAAAUUCGUAGAUAUCGGGAAGGAACACCAGUGGCGAAGGGCGGACGAUCUGGGAAGAUACGUGACGC
rnacentral:rRNA from 1 species